rnacentral:rRNA from 1 species
UACCAGCUCCGCGAGUGGUCGGGACGAUUAUUGAGCCUAAAGCGCCCGUAGCCUGCUCUGCAUGUUUCGUGUUAAAUCCAACGGCUUAACCGUUGGGCCGCAUGGAAUACUGCAGGGCUGGGGAGCGGAAGAGGCCAGGGGUACUCCCGGGGUAGGGGCGAAAUCCUAUAAUCCCGGGAGGACGACCAGUGGCGAAGGCGCCUGGCUAGGACGCGUCCGACGGUGAGGGGCGAAAGCUGGGGGAGCGAACCGG